GUAUUUGCCAAGACUGACAUUGCCUGUGUGUUUGACCACACCAAAAGGAAGCUACAACGAAUAAAGACUAAUGGUGAGCUGGACAGAGGUGCUCUGAAUUACAGACAUCAUCAAUGUACAGUGUUGUGCUUAACGGGUGCAAUGUCACUGUUAGUGGCCAGCUUGAAAUUAAAGUUUUUAAAUGCAGGCACUUCUUUUGAGCAAGAAUCCUGAAAAAAUGAGAAAGCACUGAAAAUCCAGGAAUCUUGAUGGAAAGUGUAUAGAAAGAAGACUUGCGUUAUGAUGGGGGAUUUCAAUCUGGAGGAUAUAUGCUGGAUGUGUCAUGCUGUAACUAGUAAAGUAACUCUGGAGUUCCUAAAAAUCAUAGAUAACUAUCUAAGGGCUUGUCUACACUUACCGGGGGAUCGACGCAUGGCGAUUGAUGCAUCGGCGGCCGAUUUAGCGGGUCUAGUGAAGACCCACUAAAUUGACUGCAGAUCACUCUCCCGUACUCCACCUGAACAAGAAGUGCAAGGGGAGUCGACGGAUCGACAUAGUGUAGUGUGGACCCUGCGGUGCUGGCAAUGAAGGGGAGGGAGUAAGGUUAGCGCCGAGAGCGGGGCUGCAGGAGGCUCCCUACACAGCCAAUGGGGCCCAAGAUGCUGGGGCACAAAGUGCUUGGGAAGCUGCAGCGCUGACCUGCGGGAGCAGAGACCCCAGCCAGGACUGCAAGGAGGAGGGAUCGGCAGCCUACUCGAAACUAUCCAAAAUAGGCUGCUUCACUUUCUUCUGAGGACACACAGGAACGGCUGCUCUACAAGUCGGCUUGAAAAAUAACUCAUGGGCUCCGUGGAUGUACACUCAAUGCAAUUCUUUUGCUUUAUUGCAUAUUGCCAUCUUAAAAAAUGUACAGUCUCAUAACAUACACAGCAUUUCCUGGCAGCUAAACUACUAACAUUCUUGCACCUAACUUGGUUGACUAUUAAGCUACGAAGGUCCAUGACAUAUACUUCAGUUCACAAGUAAUUUUUUCCUUUUUGGCAUUAUUAAAAAAAAAAAUCUGUAAAAUACACACCCAAGAGAAGAGUGGCUACCGACACCAGCACCUGUUUAAAAGUAGCUUUCAACAAUGGCACAUGAAAUUACCUGCACACGGCCUUUUGUUUGGAAAGAAAACUAAAUAGCAAACGCAGCCCAAUAACCAGGCUGACGGAAAACAAGAAUGAUCUGGAAGGGCAACUAAGCUCCCGAGCCUCCACGGGAAUCCCACAGGGUGAAGCCCGAGAGCACCUCCUGGCUACACAGGCUGCGGAAGCGGGAUCCCAGUGCAGGGCUGGAGGCCUUUUCAAAACGCAUUAUUCUAGCUAAACAAUUAACUGACCAUUCCUCAGAUCAUCAGACAUGAGACUCCCCCACCCACCAAAAAGAGUCCGUUCCCUAAAUUGUGUCAGCCCAAAUUUCUUAAGCCAUAAAUAGAAAAUAUAAAUAGAGGCACUUUAGUUAAGGAACAAGAAUCACCAUUAAACGUUUUUUUCCCUUCUUCUUCUUAAAACAAAGUGCUUCACUCCCAAUCUUUGAAAAUUUGCAGGUUUCGCAGUUGCUUUGAUAGGAGGUGCAGGACUUUACUGAGCCGUAACUUUAUAUUUAUUACUGCUUUAUACGCUUUUUUUUUAUACUUACAGUGUGUCGAACGUUGCAAUGAGGAAAAACAAAAAUUGUAAGACCACCGUUCUUGACAACUCUUUUUAGAGUGAUACUUCACAGCUUUCAGAAAGCACAGAGACCCCGGGCCGGCUCUAGGUGCUAAGAACCAUAUUUUUAUACAAUUAGGUUAAACAGCACAUUUGCUAUACAGUACAUAUAGGAAAAAUGACAUCCCAAUCCCACCGAUAAUACCCAUUACAUGAAAAACUUAUUUCGAAUAGUGUUAAUAUCUAGUACAACAGGGACAAACUAAUCUCUCCACAGGAAAAAGAACAAAAAACAAAAAGAUCAUAAGAAUAUUGAUGGUAUAAAAGUUUGUUGGUUUAAAAAAAAUAAAACCAUCACAAAUAAAUAAAAGCAAAAAGUAACAGUCUUCCAUAUAUUCUGUAUAAUUUAAGAAUAUUAAGUGUUACUAGGUUAAUGGCAUUUACUUUUUAUUUUCCAAUUUUUUUAAUUUUUUUUUUUAAAUUUAUGUAUUUAUUACUUGUUACUAUUUUACUCCCUGAGCUUUGGGGUUUUUUUGGACUGACAUUUUACAGGUAGUUUUGCUAACAAAUUUUAAUGACAAUAUAAACAGCAAACCACUUGAAAAAGUACAUUGUUAAGAGAGAAAUAUUUCUUGGCAUCAUUGCUACUGUAUGUCUGUUAAAAACAAGCGGCCCGGUUCAAAGCCCACUGAAGUCAAUGGGGGCCUGUCCAUCGACACAAUGGGUUUCAGAUCAAGUCCUUUGUGCAUUGGUUUAAAAGACCUUCAGUUCUGACCUACAUUUAGGUUACGUCUACACUAGAAAAGCUACAGCAGCAUAACCGCGUGCUGCGCCGCUGUAGUGCUUCAGUGUAGACACCCGCUACGACUACCGUCACUGUAGGUCGUCCAUCUCCUCAAGAGGAGGCUGCUAGGCCAACAGAAGAAUUCUUCCAUUGACCUAGCACCGUCUGCACCAGGGGUUAGGUCAGCUUAACUACGUCGCUCAGGAGAUUUUUCACACCCCUGAGCGACAUAGUUCGGUUGACUUAACUUUUUAGCGCAGACCUGGCCUUACAGAGGAAACAAUUUGUCCCACUGAAUAGAAAAAUGAGGGGGCGGGGGGGAAAU